GCUUUCGUGGUGUGAUGGCCAGCACACUCGGCUCGUAUUCGAGAGAUUCAAAGUUCGAGUCCUGACGAAGGCA
rnacentral:tRNA from 1 species